GCAAACUUGGUCAUUUAGAGGAAGUAAAAGUCGUAACAAGGUAACCGUAGGUGAACCUGCGGUUGGAUCAUUACUAAAAUGUGAUUGUGGUAUCAACCCGAUUUUGGGCGUACCACGAAUCCAAACACCCUUGUGAACUGUUUAUGUCUUUGGCAAGUGAUGCACAUUUAGGAAGGUGUUUCUUGAAUGUGUAGAAUUUCAAGCUGAUCCCCUUGUUGGGCAGUUUGAAAGCUUGUCGCUUACUUUUAACCAUUGUGAUAUCAGUCUGAUUUUCAUUGCAAAAUAUAAAACAACUUUUGGCAACGGAUCUCUUGGCUCUCGCAUCGAUGAAGAACGCAGC
rnacentral:misc_RNA from 1 species